rnacentral:lncRNA from 1 species
GCAAGUUAUAUCCUCAGAUAGUGGUCUAAUAUCCAACUCCAUGCACUGUCGGGAAACCAAUUAUUUUCAAACGAUUAAUAUUACAAGUCAUGAUCCAGAAGCUUUGAUGUCCUUUUCAUUCGCUUUAAAACUGAAGUUUUAGGGUCUAACCCUUGCUUCUUUGAUUUACGUUUCUCAAGUUUUGCAGUCUGUAUUGAGUCCCAAUUUAGUUUUAGCUGUAUGUGCUUAUAUUUAACAAACCAACUAUACUAUGCAUAUGCUUGGGUGGUUAGUCGUUUUUCCCCAACACAUUUUAAUUACUUUUGCAUCUUCUAUGUCUUUUUUGUUAUGACAGAGAAUUACUGAGCAAGCUGGGGUCGUUCUCACACUUGACCCGAAACCAAUUGAUGUAAGCUAGAUCAUGUACAAGUGCAGUUAUACAUCAUGGUUAGAUAUUAUAAAGAAUAUUAUCUAAUCUCUUAUUUGAAUCUGCAGGGUGACUGGAAUGGAGCAGGCUGCCACACCAACUACAGGUACUUCUGUGCUUUAUUAAUAUGUAUUCAAGCUGCUUAUUACUAUAUGAACUGAUGGAAUAUAAGCACUGUCAGAAAAUCAAUGUUUAACUUAACAUUCUUUGGAAUCACAGUACAAAAAGUAUGAGAGAGGAGGGAGGCUUUGAAGUAAUUAAGAAAGCAAUCUUAAACCUUUCACUUCGCCACAAAGAGCACAUCAGUGCAUAUGGAGAAGGAAAUGAGAGAAGAUUGACAGGAAAGCAUGAAACUGCGAGCAUUGACAGCUUUUCUUGGGUAUGUGUUGAUAGUGUUGGCAUUUAAUUCUGCAAAAACAGACAAGAGUGUAGAUGUAAAAUAUUCUAUUCCAAUUCUAAUUUGGUAACAUGACUUUAUCAUGCAGGGAGUUGCUGACCGUGGUUGCUCAAUCCGUGUGGGGCGUGAUACUGAGAAGGAAGGCAAAGGUAGGCCCUGUAAUUGGCAAAACUAGAAAAAAACUGGCAUAGCUAUUAAAAGUUCUUAUACAGUUGUUAGCUACCAAAUGAACAAAUUUUGUGCAGUUUUUUUGUCUAUACUUAUAUUUUGGUAUCUUCAAAACCAAGUUUGUCAAUUAGUACUUAUUGAUACCUUCAUCUUUUUCUUACUAUCCUUUCUAUUGUAUGGCAGGUUACUUGGAGGAUCGGCGCCCUGCUUCAAACAUGGACCCAUAUGUUGUGACUGGUUUACUUGCUGAAACUACAUUACUGUGGGAGCCAACACUUGAAGCUGAAGCUCUUGCUGCACAGAAACUAUCUUUGAAUGUCUAGAUUCAGUUCAAGAUAAAUUUACAUUUUCCACAAAAUUCAUUGUCGUCAGUUGAACCGCCUCCUGCUUUCUUUGGAUCAUUAGUUGAUAAUUUCUGUAAAUAAAGGGAGCCCCAGUGGUUAACCUUUCCUUCUAUUAUGAAAGACAUUCUUGGAGGUCAUUAGGUGUUCAAAAGAAUAAUUAUGAUGAUUUUGAGAAUACUCUACCCGGAAGCAAUUGUCAUCAAGUUCUGAGCCUG